GUGAGCAACAACUGCAAUACUGGCAGCUUCAUCAUAAUCAACAUUAAAACGUUUCGGCAAUCCUAUAAAUAUUUAAAUAUAACGACAAAAACAACCGCGACACUGUGACAGUCGGCGCCGGUGUGAGGACGAGGUGUUACUGCAGCAAAUAUUCGCGGCAAUAAAGUCAAAGGGAUACACGCGGAAACUUUCAGUCACUGCCGCAUAGCCUCGUCGAGAGAAACAGGCACUUGAAUGGUAGACGUGGCUGAACGAAUCCCAGACUUGCGCCAAAAAAGAGUAAAUGGGAUGUGGAAGUUGUAUGAUUUCAAAUGUCGAAACGUGUAAAGGGUAUUGCGUAUAUUAACUGUGCAGUGGAAACUGAAACUCCCUGAAAUAAGCAUUGGUUCAAUCAGGGUAUCAUCGAGUAGCGUACCGUACCAACACUGGUACAUUGAACAAUUUGUGUUCCUUUCGAAAUUUUAAUAGUUCAAAUAAAACUAAAAGGGGAUCAUGAACAUCUACAUAUGAUGGCCUAAAUGAAAUUGUUAAUUUUUUGGUUGAUUUGAAAAAUAAAUUAAAAAAAA
rnacentral:lncRNA from 1 species